GCGCCUGUAGCUCAACUGGACAGAGCAGCCGGUUUCUACCCGGCCGGUUGGGGGUUCGAGUCCCUCCAGGCGUG
rnacentral:tRNA from 1 species